CAGCAGCCGCGGUAAUACGAAGGGUGCAAGCGUUAAUCGGAAUUACUGGGCGUAAGCGCGCGUAGGUGGUUUGGUAAGAUGGAUGUGAAAUCCCCGGGCUCAACCUGGGAACUGCAUCCAUAACUGCCUGACUAGAGUACGGUAGAGGGUGGUGGAAUUUCCUGUGUAGCGGUGAAAUGCGUAGAUAUAGGAAGGAACACCAGUGGCGAAGGCGACCACCUGGACUGAUACUGACACUGAGGUGCGAAAGCGUGGGGAGCAAACAGGAUUAGAUACCCCCGUAGUCCCUGUCUCUUAUACC
rnacentral:rRNA from 1 species